rnacentral:rRNA from 1 species
UACGGAGGGUGCAAGCGUUGUCCGGAUUUAUUGGGUUUAAAGGGUGCGUAGGCGGCCCGUUAAGUCAGUGGUGAAAGCCUCCAGCUCAACUGGAGAACUGCCAUUGAUACUGGCGGGCUUGAGUACAGACGAGGUUGGCGGAAUUGAUUGUGUAGCGGUGAAAUGCACAGAUACAAUCAAGAACACCGAUUGCGUAGGCAGCUAACUAGGCUGUAACUGACGCUGAGGCACGAAAGCGUGGGGAGCGAACAGG